UCUUAUUACCAUUGAUAUUCCUCUGCAAGAUAUGAAACAUUUUCCAAAAAAUAUAUCCUGAAUUAUUCAUGCACUUUUAUACGCUCUGGCGUGUCGUAACCUCGUGAAAUUGUUUCCAGUCUUCAGGGUCGUUCAUCGCUGCAUAUAUUAAAACACAUUAAAACCCGGCUUUAAAUUGUGAGUGGGAUGCCACUGUCAAUGCUGCCCUCCCCACCCACUCACCCCCCUUGCUUUGCCUUGCAUCUCCAUCCCAUCCCACCUCCUCCCACGCCCGCGACAAUUGCAGGGCGCUUGCCCUCCCACACCGUCCUUUUGUGGAGUCUCCCAUGCAAUCUAAAGUCGGCUCUUUCGAUCUCUGCACCCUGAUUAGGGCAGGCGUGUCGUAGGCAGAUUGGUGAUUCAACAAAAAAGCAACCACGUCACGUUGGUUCCAGGGACACAUGGGGGAAGAAGGGUUCUUACAGCAACUGCCUUUGGAAGGAGGUGGGGGUGGGGGGGAUUAAUCUCUGAUUAAAAUGGAAUACCUCUGGGGUUGCGGUCCGACACGUUUAGAGAUCACGCAACAAUGCGCUGACGCAACGUGCGAGCCUGCGAGCUGCUGGAGACGCGUUCAGCGCGCGGAGAGGACGGUCGUCUCCUCUGGCCAAAGUGAGGCCACGCGUUUCAAUUAGCUGCCUCCCAACUGUCUCUCCGGCAUUUGGCAGGAGAAAGUUGAACAUGUGCCAGGUGCCAUUUGUGCCAGCUGCCUGGUUGGCUUUGCGUCUAGCGGUGUAAUUGGCGUGAUAUCGGCUAUACACUCCUUGCGCCGCGCUGCAAUCAUGUAAGCGGGUGGAAAAAAAAAUAACAACGUUGCUUUUACCACAAUAUAAUGUUUGGAGCUUUGAAACAAAACCUCCUUGGGUGUGUAUGAGAUUCGCAAGAGCUCCGGGCAACUGGGCAGUGUAUUGCUGAACGUGAGAGUUUUCGUAAUGUGAACUCAGCCGAUGCCUCGCGGCCUUGGAGGUCAAUUUUGUAGCUUUUCGUAGCGACCAUGCAGAUGAAAUAUUUUCACAAUCACGGACACAGCCGAGAUGUGCAAACAACAGCCCACAUCAUUUCAGAAGCUACUUAUUUCAUGCCGGGAGAUCCUCAGGAGCCCUCGACGCUUGUACAUCACCAAAACCUUCGUGUUAUUAGUUUGAUAAAUUACUACAUCGGCAUUCCAGCUCAUGGCUCAGUGGCACGGGCUGCAUUUAUAACAAGUGAGACGAGUGGUGCUUCCUCCUUCUCAUAUGUUUUAUGUUUGGAAGCGAUUUUAUUUGUUUGCCCUGGAUCGGGGUAAGUAAUACAUAAGUGAAUUAAUAAGCAGGAGGAUGCAUUUUGCGAAAAUUGUGUUGUCAAAAAUAAUAUUGCAUUUUGACACGGUCUUAUUUGGAGACACUUGUAUGUCUGUAUGUUGAGCUUGUUUCGCACCGUACAUAGACAACCGUGCUAAUCGGAGGUGCGGGAUAUUAUAACUUGCUAUAAAACGAUAGCAAAUUAUGUUUUAGGCUUUCACAGCUGCACCGAUUCAGACCGAUAGUGUAUUCGGGUAAUAGCUGCGUGGGGAUUUCAGUUCCAAAUGGGUUCAUAAGCCUAAGCCUCCACUGGGUACAAACAGUUACCACUUCUGCGAUCGACGGCCAUUUAUCAACCAGGAAUGGAGAGCAUUAAUUGCGUUCUGUUGAUCACACCACCAGCGCCGUCAGAUUGCGUCUGGUUGUGUUACAAGCAGUUGCAAUCGCAUCUGCAAACAGCAGAUUGGUAUUUGUCUGACAAUCCCCAAUGUACAGGGAUGUGUCCUCGUGUACGACACUGAAUGUUAAUGAUAUGCUAAUGAUAUACUAAUGUGUGUAUUAUGUCAUAUUCCUCCCAACAACAAUGUCAAUGGUGAUAAGUCUAAAAAUAAUAAUAAUACAUUUAACGUUUUGCAACCUUUAUUACCACCGUCGGUAACAUAAACAUUCAACGUUUGGUAGAAUGCGAAGAGUCGUCGCUACUGGAAUAAAAGUGGCAAAAUUAGACGAAUAAAUCCUCGAUUAUAGAGUACAGUAUUUUGUUUCAGUUAUGAACACUGUGGGAUGCUGCCACAGUGUUGUCAUGGUGAGUUCACUGGACUUAGAAUACAGAGGCCGUCAGGUCGAUUCAAUCUCCCUGUGCGGCAGUUCAAACAAUGGCGCUAGUUUCUCCAAUCUCCCCCAAACCCCACUGUUUCACCCCACGAUUCACCCCACAACGACUGCGUGGGGGGGGGGUGAAUCGUGAGUACUCUCCUGCUGCCUUCUGCCGGUAGUGACGUACGAGAGCAAUUUCAGGGCUGCGCCCUUAUCCCGUGUUAUCGAGCGUAAUAAAGAGUGCCCGUAGGUGCACGCGCGCGUAUUUCCGCCAAAAUGUCAGCCCGAUAAGGGUCACGUGCAACCUGUGAUCGCAGAUCAAGGAUUGCGAUCCCUGACGCACGGAGCUCAGCGGGGUCACAGUGCCACACCGGAGGGGCCCGUUGAUGCAACUGCCUCGGCUAAUGAAGGCGCUCGUGAUGACACAGGGGCUUUCACCAGGGUUACCACCUGUCCUGGGGAAACCAGAAUAGCGCUGUGCUGGACUGCCUAUGCUUGGCUGCGUCGACUUCCAACUGCUGCAUGCUAAUGCGCAGUCCACGGCGAGCUGCACCCAGUGACAUAUUCCCUCGCCACGCUCGCCACCAUCAAUCUGCCCGGCUGCACCGAAGCCUGCGACAAGAAGCCACCCACUCCAGCUGGUACCCACGCCUUGAACGCACGCGGUGCACGGACGCGCGGCGAUGUUCGUUUAGUUAGCUCGUUGGGCUCUUUGCUCGUUAGUAGAUACGAAGGUAUCCGCAGAAAUUGUACCCUCCGUUUUGAAAUCCUGUAUGUCGUCGUGCAGUCAUCACUGUUGUUAUAUUUCCCGACAACAUAUUUUUGAAAUAACAACGUCAGUGCAAGUAAUCAAAACUAAAUGCCAAUUAGCCGUUUAAACGAAUGCUUCGGAAAACUAUUUUUUUGCGUGCAAAUUAAUGGCGUGGCAAAUAUGCAUUGUCUUCAUUUUCAUGAGUUCCUUCAAUUGUUUAAUUAUUCUGGUGUAACAAACACAAUGCUUCUGUUUUAGGAAUCGCAAUACUCUGAGAUUUCUGAAUGGAGUCUUCUUCGUCUUGUGACGCGAUGCCGGUAGCACAAUUAUCAUAGAGGCGGAGCCCUGCAAGGUUGACCAGAGGUAGCUCUAGACAGCCCGUCUGGAGGGCAUACAGUAUAAUCUUGCACUCCGACCAGAUCAGCAUCAGAUGCAGAAUCUUUGAUUCCUGGGGGAAUCCGAUGAACUAUGAAGCUCUUUGUCACAGGUGUCCAGUAGGGACACGUGGUAAGAACGUCACAACAACAAACAGUACACAAACACGAUAGGAGUGCAAAGCAUAGGAAAGGUAAACAAAUAACAUAAGAGCAUACAAAUAAAACGAAACAUUUGUUUUGUCUUACCAUGUAAAGCCCACAGAGAUAUUAGCUUCUUAUUUCAGAAGCGACCUGGCCACAAAUGAUAGCUCAACGAGGUGACCCAGAUGCCUUGGAAGAGGUGUAAAGGAGAGUUUUAUAGCUCAUCGUAUUCCUCUAACGUAAAUAAAUAUUCUGAUUCGGAGGUGGGAGCAACCCACGCUUUACCCCAUCGCACGUGAACUUCCCUUUCGACUUCAACGUAAGCGCACCCAUUUGUGCCGAGGGGUGGACAGACGCGCGGGGAUUUAAGAAAGUUUCGUGGAAUAAACUAAACGAAAAUAUAUUAUUUAGAUUUGAACAAUUACCAUUCGGUGAUUCGGAGCAGCAAAUGAUAUUUGGUCACGAUUAGCCGUGCACAAGUUAAACUCCCCCCCCGCCCCGUCACAAAUUCCAGUUCCCAGGGGUCAUACAUUGUUCCUGAAUGACGAUGCUGCCACCGCCGCCACACGCGGCAUCUGCAUGCGACGCUCCACGUCGUCGCAGAAGGACACGCGUGUCGCGUCUCUCCCGGGGAUGCACGCAACGCAACGUGACAACGCGCCCGCAACGGUUACAUUUUAUUUUGUUCUGGCUCCAUUACGUCCACGGGCCUUCUAAUCACGGAGCGUGAAAAUGUGAGACAGUUGUCCGCAUGAAGCGGUGGCCUUCGUUAGAUUGAUAUUGUGCAUAUACCUAUUUUGGGUGACAGGUAAUGGAGCGUGGACGAGAGACAAGGAAUGCUCUUGACUUUAUCAGGGACAUCGUGGUCUGUACGUGUGGGCCCGUGGGGGUGGAGGAGGCUGUGUGGUCAGUGAGAGACUACAAAAGGACUCUGAAAUCAUCCCUGAACGGGCCAGAAAUAAAUUAUGGGUGGCGCGGCAAACCGCCGAGAGUAAGUGCGUCAUGACCACCGAAUAUGCGAGUCGCUUUAUAGCCAAGCAACAAUCCCAAUCCGGUCACCAUUGUUGCAGAUGUUGUUAAUAAUUGAAGGGGGGGGGGGGGGUCGGUUUUGGUAAAAAGCGUUAGAUGCACUGAACUAAAAAGAGCGCUCGCAUGAAUCUAAGCGACGAAACAAGUCCCGUCAUUCCUUCAUUUUGUAUUCAUUUUUUUAUUAUCAUGCUGAGAGGGGAAUGGCGGCGCAACGGUGGGCACACUGGACUUGCAACCCAGAGGUUCGUUCUCCCAGUGAGGAUCGUUGAAAUGAUGGUUAAGGUUUCUUCUGUGACCCACUACAGUAUAAAUGGAUGCACCACAGUGAGUCGAUUGGCAGGCCACGUGUGAUGGGGUAAAGCGUGGAUAGUCCCAUCUCUUGCUGGCUCGGGUGUCUAGCCAGCAUGGAAGAUAAGACCUAAAUACCCUGCGGAGGAAAUCUCAAGAGCUCCCUCCUGUGGAUGGAAGCCACUUCCACCAACGCCUUGAGGCCUUGUGUGCAUUAGAAACCCGAGUUUGUUAUUGUCAUUAUCAUAGCAGUGGUGUGAGCAAGACAUUGCAAGUCUUCACCUUUACCUUUUACAACGUCAGGUUGAAUUUAUAUUUGGUUUCUAGCGCAAUAAUAUGUACUUUAAUUGGAUAGAGAAACUAAAAACCAAUUUUGUAAAAAAUAAUCAUAUAAUACGAGCUCACGGUGAUUAGGGUUUUUGGUGACCUAUUGCCAUCAACCAAUAUGGAACAGCCACGGCGAACGUGGGGUAUUUGCAGUAUAGAUUUGUUUUGUCAGGUGUCAAAAUGUGAAGGGAUCUCUAGGCACUGCCCAUUUAUGACAAGGUUAAACAUCGUCAAGGUGAGGCAUUAAAAUCAAAGAGUAGGCCUCGAGCGAGAUUAUAUAUGAACGUGAUUACCUUGGGAUUAAUACACGCAGGAUGAAGGUGGCUUUUGUUUACAACAUAACACGGCGAUGCAAUAGCGAAAGCCGACCAUUUGUGUCAGUAAUGUGUGUAGUGGGCUUGGGCAGGACACGUCGCUAGCAGGGAUGAUGGCCUAUUAUAUCAAGAAUAAUGCCGGAGUGACAGCCAAGAAAUAAUGUCACGUGUACGCGCAAGGUGGAUUGUUCAAGUGCAGGACCUUGAGAGAUGACAACUUGGGGAGGCUUUUAUCCAGCAGUGGAUUGACCAAGAAUGCUGAUUCCGCUGAUGAUUAUUAUUCUUAAGCCUGCCUGAGUCCCAAGACAACUUUUCGGGAGGGUCCUGCCAUGUUUUCAAAGAAUAGGGUCAUUUUACUACUGUGUGUAAUCUAAUCUGAGUCAUUUGCGGGUGAUUUUUCAGCAUUGGGAUAUUUGGCCAAUACCAGUUAAAAAAAAAUGUGUUCAAAUGCAGGAUGCUGGUGACAUUUCGUUAUUUUAGACUCGGCAUUGUGUAGGUCAACGAGCUUCCGCAGAUUUCUUGUGUGUUCGCGUGACAGGUGGCGGGUCAGGGGUCACGUGACAGAAGACAUUCGGUAAAGAUGAAUGGCUCUUCCUCUUCGCACCUGUGUGAGCCUACAGUGCUCAUCCUCGUGCGGUCGUGAAAAGGGAUCCCUCUGUGUUUUGCAA